rnacentral:lncRNA from 1 species
AAAACAAUCUCGAUAACCGUUUAGAUUAGCAAAUACAAGCAUCAAAAUUCACAAAGCGGGAAACGAGAUCAUGACUCAAUCCGGGAAACGAAAUCGUCGAUUUGAAAGCAACGGUUCCAACCCGGAGGUGCGCUGCAAGAAAUCUCCGAGUUCUUCAUAAUACGUGUACUGAUUAGUUCUUAAACCAGGCUCAAACUCCUCGUUUUCAAUCUAGGUAAAUUACUUCUCAAGAACACCUCGAUUUUAUGUUAACUGUUUAGAUUAGACCUGUACAAAUCCAAAUGGUACUGCUACAAAAUUAUAAAAUAAUUAUCUCAAAUUAGUUUUUAAUGCUGAUAAAGUGACUUAGUUUGUUGGCUUAUCUAGGGUUGCUUGAAUUUAGUGUUUUUGUUGUAUGAAACUGAUUAGGGUUGAUCUUAUUCCAAUGUAUAAGGUUGAAUUCUGAGCAAGUAUUCGUGAAACAGAUUAUUCUUACAGCCAAAAUAAACACAACAUUUACUAUUUCAAUAAUUUUAAUUUUAAGCUGCUUGAAUUUCAAAACAUUCUAUGGUUUUAUUUUCUUUAGUUUUCACCAGAAAGAAACCAAUAAACCAAACCAUGUGUACAAUUGUUAUAUAAUUACCAUUCAGCAAGUUGUGUACACUACACAUUCACAUUUACUUAAGCCAAAUGAAUCCAAAGUUUCAUUUUUGGUUUGGAAAGGGAUCAUGGAAUUUUUUAAAUAAAGGGAAAUUGACAUUGAAAGCGAAUGUAUCUAUCAUUUGGUAAUUUAACCAUAAACUUUGCAAAUAUUACCAUUUUCUUAUAUAGGUUAUGGUAAAGAAAUAUCUGUAUUUUGAAAUAUGAUUAACUCUAAUGUUCGAUUUGGAGCAAUUGGCGUUAUAAAAAUUAUUGCAUUGAUGUUAAUUGGGUUGCUCAAUUAGUCAUUGUUGCCAUUUCUCAAAAGUCUUCAGAAAAGCAUCAGUUUAAAGUGAACGUGACUCAACCAAACCCAAUAAAGUAAAUAAUAUUCACUAUGAUAUUUUAAGUGUUUGAUAACUUAUAUAAAUUUGUUGAAAGUAACAUAUGGGUGAUGAGUAGCAUUUUCUUCUUCAUGGUAAUGAUGGAAAAGAGGUUUUAGUGUGUGUCUUUAUGUCUAAAAUAUGUUACGGAUUUCAUUUGGGAUGUUUGUGCCAAAAACCCACUAUGCCUCUAAAAGGCUAAGGCAAUUGGGAAUAUGAUUCUCUUCGUUUGAAAAUGGGUGAAAUAUAUCAUAAUGAAUUCAAAAUAGGAAAACAAAGCAAAAAACCUUCCUACUUGUUUCUUUUUAACACAAUGCAGGGCUCUCUUCUUUAUUAUUUUCAUCGGUUGCACUGUAUAACAUAAACUUUGAAUCUAGAGGCUAAAAAUUAUUAAACACUAUCUCGUUUUAGAUCAAGUAAAUUAGAAAAAAAAAAAAUCAAAAAGCUUCCUACUUGUUAGCUUUUAAUGAUAUAUUAUAAGUGGGUCUCACGUAUGUUAAAACUUUUAUCUUUUUUGCACUUAAUUAUUUUCCCAAUCAUAAAACCUUUUACUAGUUAUGUUUCUAGUUAGAUGUCUAGAAUAGUACUUUUAGAAACAAAAUUGUCGAUAAUUUGUAUGCUUAUUAUCUUUCGGGAAAAUAGCAUAGAAUGAAACAUACUUUAUAUGAGUUAAUAUUUUAGGAUCAUACUUGUAAAACGUAUAUAAAAAAGGCCUAUAGUUUGAAAAAUACAUAUUUUUGGGCCAUAUUAGGAAACCAAUUUUUAUUGAUGUGACAUAGGUUCGGGUUAACGUGGCGGCAUUCACAUGGAACACUUCUAGUCAGAUUGUUUAUUGUACUUUCAAAGCUUACAUUUAGGUGUAUAUAUAUAGUUUGAAAAACACACAUUCAUGGCUUUAAAUAUGAGAAAAUGGAUUUUAAUAAGUCGAUGUUUUUAAUUCAUUUUUAAUUAGUUUUUACAGUUGAAGUGUAUUUUUUUUUAAUUAUCAAAUAGGUUCUCUUAAAAAUAUUUAUUAUAGUUGAUUACUUGUCUUCAUUUACUCAUCUUUUUCAUUCUGAUCAUGAUUUUCAUUUUUCAUAUUUUUUUAAUAAUUAAAUUCAAGAACAUGUCGGCAAAAAUAAAAUAUCCUGUUUUGUACAAGUAGUCCUUUUUGUUCAUUAAUAUUCUAUUUUACUCCUCUUAUUUAAAGCUUUAUUGUUUUUGAUUAAUCUGUUUUUUCACUUUGAUCUCCAAUAUUGAAUAUUAAAUUCGUAAUGGUUACAUAAUAUUUUUAUGGUUUUUUGUUUUUAUGAUUAUAUACGUAAUGUAUUGUCACAAGAUAAAAGCGAAAUAUGAACUCCGGAUUUAAUAGUAUUUAUUUUAAUUUUGUGUAUCAUAAAAUAUUCCACAAGGAUGGGGGCAAAUUAGUUAAUUUAAAAAAGAAAAAAACUAUUAAAAGUGAUCAAUGAUUGGAGAAAGUUUAAAUUAAUAUCAUUUUUCUUGAUAAAGUUAGUGAGAAGAUGAUGUGUCAAAGCAAAAAAAUAUGCACAAGGUUGAUGAUCGGAGAUGCUUUUAUAUGGGUUAUGGUAUUAUAUGGAGGCGCUCACUCAUAAAUUAAGUGUUGGGUAACUACGUAUGCUUAUCUACCCAAAAUAGCAACGUGCUUACAAAAUUUUCUCUAUAAAAAAAAUAUGAAACUUAAAACUUGUAAAACAUAGCAAAAUACAUAAAUUUGUUUACCCAUAAUAACAAAGCAUUCACAAUUUAAUGUUACUAAUAAAGAUAAGAAAAAAAGGACAUUGACCAUAUAUAUUGAUCCCUUUUUACUUUUGUAUAAAGAAAACGUUACAAAUAUAUGCAAUGAAUGAUAGUGAGCAACUUUAUACGUCUUCCUAACAAUGUGGUAAAAUGUAAUUUGUUUUUUUACCCGUAAUUAAAUUUCUUUAAACAUAAUACCAAUGUACCUAUCAUUUUCUUAUCCAUAAUAACAACAUUCUUAUAUUUCUUUACAGUAAUCAUACCCAACUGAAAGCUAUAGGACUACUCACAACAUAUUUUCCUCCGGACCACUUUAGAUGACCAAAUCCAGUAGACCCCGAUUGCAUGGAACUAGCUGUAAAUGUAACAGUAUACACCUUUUUCUCACCUUGCUUCGUGAAAAUUAACUCUUCUGGGUCAACCGUAAUCUUGACUGCCGCCACCUUUGACCAUACCGAAACCUUAUAAGUCGCCGGAGUCCCCACAUUUUUCAGAGUCCUGGUGUACUUAACGGUGGUCGGACCACCCCCGACACCACCACCUUCGCCGGAAUCCGUCAGCAAAGGAACUGCAAAAGACGGGUAGUUAAGAUCUUCCACCCUGUAUUUCUUUCUACAUGUGAAACUUCCACCUCCAAACAUUUUAAUGGCAUUUGAACUAUAAUUCAAAGCGCAAAGAAAGCCCAAAUAGUCGUUAGGUGAGGCGUCAUAGACCAGACCAGGGUCCAUGGCUCGAAUUGGGUCUACAUGGCCCGAACCAUGGUCAAAUGGGGUCGAUGGGUUUCCGGUUGCAAUAUCCUUCAGCCCUUCACCGUUUUUGUAUGCGCUGUAAGCUGUGGUCAUAAGUGCUGAUUUUAUUUCUGCUGGUGUCCACGCAGGGUGAGCCGCCUUCAGUAAGGCGGCUAACCCGCUUACGUGGGGACAUGACAUCGAUGUCCCGGACACGAUGUUGUAUUCGACACGUCGCGUGUCUUCUGUUAAGCCGGUUGGACCGGUUUUACCGGUCCAACCGGCUAAAAUAUUUACCCCUGGUGCGAUGAAAUCUGGUUUCAGGAUUUCAGGGGUGAGCGGGUUCGGGCCCCGGGAACUGAAAGCUGCAACUACUGGUGACGGUUGGAUGUGUAAUUCGGUUACUCCGGAUGCAAUUGUAGCCGUUGGAUUGUCAUUUGAGAGUAUAUAGCUUUUUAUCGCCUCACCACCUCGGUAACCGAUGGCGGCGGUUGGGAUCAAGUGGGCGUCAGCCACCAGGUCCUCCCCGAACGUAUCGGAGUUCGCCAGAAUCAUUCCGACACCACCGGCUGCCUUCACCACCAUCCCCUUCUGCACCCGCGAAUUCCCGCCACGUUCACACAUCACAAUUUUUCCGGUGGCUCUCCCCCGUGGCAACGUACCCGGGAGACAUAAGUUCCCGGUGGUGUUGCUGAUAUUUCCGGCGUAAACAACCGGAACCACGGAUUCUGGUAGUGGUUUUCCACUAUAAAGCGAUACUCCCCGGAAUUUCUUCCCGUUUCCGAGAACAACAUACGCCGGAAAUUCACGAUCAAGGGUUCCGGCACCAACCGUAGCUAUCCAUGGCGCGACAUUCGAUAAACCAAACGGGCCGGGCCCACUGUUUCCGGCAGAACAUGCUACAAAUAUUCCACGGGAAACCGCCUUGAACGCACCAUAAGCCACCACGUCAUUGGUGUAAUCAGCAAGCGAGCCGCCAAUUGAAAGUGAUAAAACAUGGACACGAUCCGCAAUCGCCUUUUCUAUUGCCGCCAGUAUAUCGCUCCCGAAACAACCACCGAGCCAACACGCUUUAUAAACCGCCAGCCUGGCAUUCGGAGCCAUCCCACGAGCCGUCCCUUUCGCAAACCCAAAAAGACUAGCUCCGGUCACAGUUGAACCGGCGGCUGUGGUGGCGGUGUGGGUCCCGUGUCCAUCAUCAUCUAUGGCAGACCGCGAUUCUAUUGUUUCAUCAAUCGGCCCGUAUGUGGCUUCAUAUGCUCUCGAAAAGAACGUUGCCCCAAUCAGUUUCUUAUUACAGUUUGAUACACCGAAGCUCGUACCAUUCUUACACUCGCCUUUCCACCACGCCGGAAUCGGGCCGAACCCAGUGUCGUCUAAGCUUUUACUUCCGGGCCAGACACCGGUGUCCACCACCCCAAUCACCACAUCACCGCCGGAGCCCAGCCCGGAAAACAUCGUCUCCCUCCCUGCAAGUCCAAGAAACUCCGGUGACCGGGUGGUGUGAAGCUUGUAUAUAACCUCUUCUUUAACUGAUAAAACACCGUGUUUUUUCUCGAGUAAUUUCGCUUGUUCAACCGUGAGCCGGGUGGAGAACCCGUGGAUGACGUUUUCAUACAUAUACAACAUUUCCGGCGACUCGGAAACCGAUUCCAUAGAUGUUGCGUACCAGUUCCGGUGGUCAGAAUAUUCCGGCGGCAUCACCACCUUGUCCAUGUGAACGAUGUACGUUUUCCGUUCCUGGUUGGUGUUUGCCGCCGUGUAGCGGUGGCAAACCGCCAUAGUUACGGCCAUCAGGAGGAUCACCCUGGGGUUCAUUUGGUAUGGUUUAUGAGGGUAAUUAAGUAGGGAAUGAUGGAAUUGAAGUGGUGUUGGCUAGUAAUAUAUAUAUGGGGUAUGCAUGGGUACGUUGUUGCUAUCUAGGAUUUGAAGUGAUGGGGCCUACGAGAAAUGAUUUGACUCGUAAUCAGUGAGUUUGCUGUUGCUAUUUGUUAAAAGUCUCUGGAAAGGAAUCUUAUUUGUUAUUAGUGGGUACCGGUAGUGGCUGCCGGUAUUUAAUACGAUGUUAAUUGUUCGAUCAAAUUAUUAAACUUGUCGAAAGCAACAUAGAUACUAUGGAAAUAUAAGGAGUCGUUUAUUACAAAUUUAAGAUUUAAGAUAAGAUGAGUAGCUAAGAACUCGUUUGUUGUCCAAGAUGACAGACCAUGAUGGCCAUACCAUAUACCAUAUAUACUGUAUUGGAUUGAAAACAACUAAUAUUGAUAUCAAUGUGACAAUUUUUAUUUAUUUAUUUAUUUAUUUUAAAUGUCUGUCAUCCCCGUUAAAAAUAGCAUUAUAAUUUAUUUAUAAAGUUUGGUUGUCUCGUAUAACAAACGCAGUGUAAAUGUACAGAACUGUAGAUGUGGUUGUAUUUCUUAUUGUUUCCUGUCUAAUAAUUCAUGGAAAAGCCAAAAAGGUUCUUGGUGGGUGUCUGUACAACUAAUAUGUUAUCGCUUUAGUAGACGAUGAAGGAUCACUUUAUCGGAGGAAGCACUAUCGGAAAAAGCUUUUAACAAGUAUUUAAAAGUUGAAAUGAGUCGAUGGGAAUGAUUCAUCUUCCAAUAUAAGGUAUAAGUAAUGCAGAUAAAUAAAGCAAAAGUCAUAUCUUUUGAUACGUGUCUUAAAGAGACUUGAAAACUAUGUAAAAGACUAAAAGGAGCAUAUUUUAUAAACAUUAGGUAAUCAUUAUGAUCUUUAACACUCUUAAGUAACCGAGGAAUCCAAUACUUAGAAAAUACACUUCCUUUGAGUUGUGAUGUUAUUUGUAUGUUCCAUGAUAGAGGCCCUAGGAGGUUUAUUCGUAAGAGAAAACUAUUAGCCCAACCCACUGAUUACAUGAUUAUGGGAAAACACAAGUUUGGGAUUGAAAAAGUUGUUGGAUAUGCAUCUUUAAAACAUGAAAUGUUUUGUUUUGCUUCAAAUUUGAAUAAAUUUGUUGAACCAUGCUUUUGAUGAUACUAAAAUUGAUGAAAAUCGGAUAAGCGCAAUGAAUGACGAAAUUGAAGCGUUAACUAAAAAUGGUACUUGGAAAAUUACUGAUUUACCUAGUAGCAGAAAACCAAUAGGUUGCAAGUGUAUAUAAAAUAAAAUUUAACUUCAUAGCUAUGAUUCGUAACCUGUUCAGUUUGGUGCAAAUUUGAAUACUAUGAUAAAGUGAAGAGAAGAAAGUGGAAAUUAUGGAAUGUGAAGGGGUAAAGUUUGAUACGAAGAAAGAUUUUUUUUUUUUUAAUUAGCUAUACUCGAUUUCAUAUUGAUGAUCUUAUGUUGGGCCCGAGUAUGCAAAAGACAAGAUGGAGUUGUUACGUCCCGAAAAAAAAAAGAAUCAUUUUGACUUGGAGGGUUUUACGAUAUCGGAUCCCUACUAGAAGUAAUUUGACUAAUCGGAGAAUUGACUUGGAUUCUUUUAUAUGCACUUCUUGUGAUGUUGAGAUUGAAGAAACGCCUCAUUUGUUUUUGUCUUGUGAUGUUGAGGUGCAGAGUAGGGGGUGUUUGGUUUAGCUUUUCACAGCCAAAAGUCUUUUUUAUAAAAGAAAAAAAACAAAAAGAUGUUUGGCAAACUAGUAACUUUUCGAGUUUUAAUACAAGGAAAAUCAACUUUUUGGAAAAGUCAGAAAAUCCUAACUUUUUAUAACUUUUUGGAAAAGAAUUUUUGAGCUUUUAAAAGCUAAGCUAAGCCAAACACGCCCUAGGUCAAUGGGAGAACUUUAGAACUUACUUAUUCCUCAAUUUCGAUUAACCUCAAACUUAUUUUUUGGUGUGAUAAUCGGCCUAUGUCUAAUAUGAAUCAGUCUUGGAAGCUAUUUUUAUGAUGACGAUAUGAAGCCCUUUGGAGGUACCACAAUGGUGCGGUGUUUGGCUUCAACAAGUUUGGCAAGUCUAAUAUGUUUUUUUUUUUUUUUUUUUUUUUUUUUUUUUUUUUUUUUUUUUUUUUUUUUUCGGUUCUAUGUGGAAACCAUAAACUAGAAGUCAAUUGGAUUUUGUGGUUGCAUAACUCUCUUUGGGUAUUACUUUGUAAUUAUUUAUUUUUUCUACUAGCUUCUUGCUAAGCC